rnacentral:rRNA from 1 species
AUUGAACGCUGGCGGAAUGCUUUACACAUGCAAGUCGAACGGCAGCACGGACUUCGGUCUGGUGGCGAGUGGCGAACGGGUGAGUAACAUAUCGGAACGUAUCCAAUAAUGGGGGAUAACGAGUCGAAAGAUUCGCUAAUACCGCAUACGCCCUACGGGGGAAAGCUGGGGACCUUCGGGCCUGGCGUUAAUGGAGCGGCCGAUAUCUGAUUAGCUAGUCGGUGAGGUAAAGGCUAACCAAGGAGACGAUCAGUAGCUGGUCUGAGAGGACGACCAGCCACACUGGAACUGAGACACGGUCCAGACUCCUACGGGAGGCAGCAGUGGGGAAUUUUGGACAAUGGGCGCAAGCCUGAUCCAGCCAUUCCGCGUGAGUGAAGAAGGCCUUCGGGUUGUAAAGCUCUUUCGCAAGGGAAGAAAACUUAGCCACUAACAUUGGUUGAGGUUGACGGUACCUUGAUAAGAAGCACCGGCUAACUACGUGCCAGCAGCCGCCGUAA